rnacentral:rRNA from 1 species
UACGUAGGUGGCAAGCGUUGUCCGGAUUUACUGGGCGUAAAGCGCACGUAGGCGGCUUUGCAAGUUAGAGGUGAAAGCCCGGGGCUCAACUCCGGAAUUGCCUUUAAAACUGCAUCGCUAGAAUUGUGGAGAGGUAAGUGGAAUUCCGAGUGUAGAGGUGAAAUUCGUAGAUAUUCGGAAGAACACCAGUGGCGAAGGCGACU